rnacentral:rRNA from 2 species
GACGCAAGUCUGAUGGAGCAACGCCGCGUGAGUGAAGAAGGCUUUCGGGUCGUAAAACUCUGUUGUUGGAGAAGAAUGGUCGGCAGAGUAACUGUUGUCGGCGUGACGGUAUCCAACCAGAAAGCCACGGCUAACUACGUGCCAGCAGCCGCGGUAAUACGUAGGUGGCAAGCGUUAUCCGGAUUUAUUGGGCGUAAAGCGAGCGCAGGCGGUUUUUUAAGUCUGAUGUGAAAGCCCUCGGCUUAACCGAGGAAGUGCAUCGGAAACUGGGAAACUUGAGUGCAGAAGAGGACAGUGGAACUCCAUGUGUAGCGGUGAAAUGCGUAGAUAUAUGGAAGAACACCAGUGGCGAAGGCGGCUGUCUGGUCUGUAACUGACGCUGAGGCUCGAAAGCAUGGGUAGCGAACAGGAUUAGAUAUCCUGGUAGUCCAUGCCGUAAACGAUGAAUGCCAGGUGUUGGAGGGUUUCCGCCCUUCAGUGCCGCAGCUAACGCAUUAAGCAUUCCGCCUGGGGAGUACGACCGCAAGUUGAAACUCAAAGGAAUUGACGGGGGCCCGCACAAGCGGUGGAGCAUGUGGUUUAAUUCGAAGCAACGCGAAGAACCUUACCAGGUCUUGACAUCUUUUGAUCUCCUGA